UCUUUUGAGAGUUUGAUCCUGGCUCAGAACGAACGCUGGCGGCGCGCCUAACACAUGCAAGUCGAACGAGAAUCCGGGGCAACCCGGUAGUAAAGUGGCAGACGGGUGAGGAAUGCAUGGGUAACCUGCCCUCGAGAAGGGAAUAACCCGCCGAAAGGCGAGCUAAUACCCUAUACGCUUCUCUCU
rnacentral:rRNA from 1 species